rnacentral:rRNA from 1 species
GCGUGAGCGAUGAAGGCCUUAGGGUUGUAAAGCUCUUUUACCCGAGAUGAUAAUGACAGUAUCGGGAGAAUAAGCCCCGGCUAACUCCGUGCCAGCAGCCGCGGUAAUACGGAGGGGGCUAGCGUUGUUCGGAAUUACUGGGCGUAAAGCGCGCGUAGGCGGCGAUCUAAGUCAGGGGUGAAAGCCCGGAGCUCAACUCCGGAACUGCCCUUGAGACUGGAUUGCUAGAAUCAUGGAGAGGUGAGUGGAAUUCCGAGUGUAGAGGUGAAAUUCGU